GUAUAUUUGACAGGUAGAGUUACAGACAGUGAGAGACAAAGGUCUUCCUUCUGUUCGUUCACUCUCCAGAUGGCUGCAAUGGCUGGAGCUAUGCUGAUCUAAAGCCAGGAGCUAUGUGCUUCUUCCUGGUCUCCAACGCGGAUGCAGGCGCCCAAGCUCUUGGGCCAUCCUCCAACUGCUAUCCCAGGCCACAGCAGAGAGCAACCAGGACUAGAACCUGGCACCCAUAUGGGAUGCCAGCGCCGUAGGCGGAGGAUUAAUCUGCUGCGCCAUGGCGCCGGCCCCAAACAUUGGGUUUUAACUUAUCCUGGUUUUAAUCAGGUGGCCCCUUUCAUCUCUGCACUUCAGACUGCGGAACGGUGCUGAGCAGGUGAUCCUGGCUUCUCAGAGUCAAGAGAGCUAGUUCAGUCGCCUGUUGUACGUUCCCCAUCUCGCCCACCUCCUUCCCAGUUGGAACAUAUCAUCUAUUUUUGACCUUGGAAAUCUAAGAGGAAAAUGAUCAGAAACAGAUUUGCCUCAGUCCUAUCAGUGUUCCAGAUUACAAGACUUCCAGCAUGGAGAGCCACAAUAGCACAGGCAAGCUUUAGUCCCAGGUCGCACCUCGCCACCCCGCCUCCACUCCCACCAGUGCUCUAGCUUUUUAUCUCACACGGGCGGGUGAGUAUAUCGUCAUGUAUCUUGUAAAAUCAGCUGUGCCUGCACGGGGCUGGAAUGUCACUGUUGUAACAAGACGUGCAAUAAUGUGCACUCAUGUAGUUGAAGACAUUUCUAAUUGAUUAUACAUUUAUUUGCCACACCACCAUUCUCCUUGGAAUACUGCUGAAGAAAAAAAGUGUUUGAAUAAUCACGUUCUCUUUUACGGAUUUCUGAUGUUUGCUAAUGAAUACACUAUGAAGCUUUAUUUUUCAAAUGUGUAACCUACUUAUUGCUUUUUCCAUGCAUUUUUAUAUUCCAGAGGAUCCUCUAGUGACAGAACAUUUUCAAUCAUUACUUCUCUUUGGUGGAAUCAAUUACCUCCUGAUAGAUUCCCCUUCCAAGUUUAAAAUUGCAUUUAAAAACUCCUCUCUUUUCUGAAUUCUAAUUAUGUGUACUUUGAACUCUAGAUUCUUUUAGUGAAUAUUUGUUUAUGAAUCUUUCUGUAAUUCAGAGACCUCACUAACACAUUUGUGGGCCAAGUGUAAUAUUCAACAUAUAUGUGUAAUUCCUUUGGGAAAUUAUACUUAUUAAACAAAGAUUUUACUUACUCUCAAAGAAAAGUCCAAAAACAUAAUCCAGAUAAAGUAAAAAUUGGGAAGUGAAUCUGUACAUUAGCCAAACUUUGUUCUGCCUGCAUAAUUUGUUUGAAGUCACAUUUGAGGAUAUCAAUAUGAAAUUGCUUAUGAUUCUCUCCCUCUUACAUGACAAAUCAUAUAGAGUAGAUCAUUUAUAUUCCUUAUGUGUGAAGCAGCCCAUCAGCUUUUCAGUCAUCAUUAUUCAGCAAAUUUAUCAAUCUACAAUCUAACCAAGAGGUGAGAAGCGAGUAAAACACCUCUCUGAAGAAUUAGACUAGUACAUUCAAACAUCGACUACUCUCAUAUACAAACUACUUUAUACUGUUAUUUGUUGUUUUUCCAAUA